rfam:Vitis vinifera, whole genome shotgun sequence of line PN40024, unoriented chromosome 17, chr17
GGGUGCGAUCAUAUUAACACUAAUGCACUGGAUUCCAUUAGAACUCUACAGUGAAACGUGCUUGGGCGAGAGUAGUACUAGGAUGGGUGACCUCCUUGGAACUCCUUGUGUUGCACCCC